AUUCCAUGAUGAGGGCACUUUCGUAAUAACUCUUUAUAUCUUUCCUAUUCCUCAUACAAGGACUCAUCAUCCAUUUGUUGGAAAGUAGUGAUCUCGUUCCUCAACUU
rnacentral:snoRNA from 1 species